GAUGAACGCUAGCGGCAGGCCUAAUACAUGCAAGUCGAACGGUGUCUUCGGACAUAGUGGCGCACGGGUGCGUAACACGUAUGCAACCUACCUUACAUUGGGGGAUAGCCUUUCGAGAGGGAGAUUAAUACCGCAUAAGACAGUAGCUGGGCAUCCAGCAGCUGUUAAAGAUUUAUCGAUGUAAGCUGGGCAUGCGUCCAAUUAGCUAGUUGGUGAGGUAACGGCUCACCAAGGCAAUGAUUGGUAGGGGAACUGAGAGGUCAAUCCCCCACACUGGCACUGAGAUACGGGCCAGACUCCUACGGGAGGCAGCAGUAGGGAAUAUUGGGCAAUGGACGCAAGUCUGACCCAGCCAUGCCGCGUGCAGGAUGAAGGCGUUAUGCGUUGUAAACUGCUUUUAUACAGGAAGAAACGACUCUUGCGAGAGGCAUUGACGGUACUGUAUGAAUAAGCACCGGCUAACCCCGUGCCAGCCGCCGCAGUAAAAC
rnacentral:rRNA from 1 species